CACAGAAUAGAAAUGACCAGAAGGGUCACUCGUGUCGGCAUCCUUUGUUGCAAGUUCACUCGAUUUUUUCUGGCGCCGCGCUGUCUGUACAUACAGUUCUCGUUUUCAACCGUCAUGAAAGGAGGCUAGUAGUCUAGGAUGUUUCGCAAUCGAAGGCGUGUUGAAGCAAAUUUCAAAACAAGCUCCCUUGAAUAUCACUGGGGCUGCACUUCAUACCAUCAUGAAGCAAAAGGAGAGUGAAUAAAAACACAGAGGCGCUUAGUUCGUUAUGGAUCGGAUAAAAAAUUGCACGAGAAAACAAAUCAAUUCGAGAAAGCGAGAGUAUCUGAAGAUAUUACCAAAUAAAGUCAAUAGUUGUCUCUACCGUGAAGCAAUGUGACAAAAUUUGGUUCUGGAUAGCGAAUACAAAAACGGAAGUAGAAGAUAGGAUACAAACCUGGUGCUGUUAUGAGUGCAUGACACCUUGCUAGUAUGGCCAGUAAAAACUCAUUGUGGAGAUGAACUAAAAACAGAGGAGUAUAAACUACAAACAGAGGAGUACAAAAUACAAACAGAGGAGUACAAACUACAAACAGAGGAGUAUAAACUACAAACAGAGGAGUACAAACUACAAACAGAGGAGUAUAAGCUACAAACAGAGAAGUAUAAACUACAAACAGAGGAGUAUAAACUACAAACAGAGGAGUAUUAACUACAAACAGAGGAG